AGCGAACGUUUGCGGCGGGCCUAACACAUGCAAGUCGAACGCACUAGCAAUAGUGAGUGGCGCACGGGUGCGUAACACGUGGGUAAUCAACCCUUCAGCCUGGGAUAACGACUCGAAAGGGUCGCUAAUACCGGAUACGGCGCGAGAGGCUUCGGCUUCUCACGAGAAAGCCACGCAAGGGGCACUGAAGGACGAGCCUGCGGCCCAUCAGCUAGUUGGUGAGGUAAGAGCUCACCAAGGCUAAGACGGGUAGCUGGUCUGAGAGGAUGAUCAGCCACACUGGAACUGAGACACGGUCCAGACUCCUACGGGAGGCAGCAGUGGGGAAUAUUGCGCAAUGGGCGAAAGCCUGACGCAGCCACGCCGCGUGAGCGAUGAAGGCCUUCGGUCGUAAG
rnacentral:rRNA from 1 species